AUUCACUGAAGCUCUGAAACUCUUUCUUAGCAUUAUUCAUACAAUACCAUUGAUAGUUGUGGAAUCAAAGAGAGAAGUUGACGAGGUGAAGGAGUUGAUUAUUAUAGUCAAAGAGUAUAUAUUAGGUUUGCAGAUGGAACUCAAGAGGAGAGAAGUUAAGGACAAUCCAAUUCGCCAACAGGAACUUGCAGCCUAUUUUACUCACUGCAAUCUGCAGCUACCUCAUUUAAGACUUGCCUUGCAGAAUGCAAUGACUGUCUGCUUUAAGGCUAAGAACCUUGCUACAGCCGGCAACUUUGCCAGGCGUCUGCUCGAAACCAACCCUGUUGUCGAGAACCAAGCAAAGGCAGCCAGGCAAGUGCUGCAGGCUGCUGAGAGGAAUAUGACAGAUGCUGCCAAACUCAGCUAUGAUUUUAGAAACCCCUUUGUGAUCUGUGGGGCUACACAUGUGCCAAUUUAUCGAGGACAGAAAGAUGUA
rnacentral:misc_RNA from 1 species